AAUAGUUUGUUUUGUUGGUUCUUGCGACUUUAUGCAUUUUCGCAGAAAAUGCCGUGCUAAGUGUUUGAUAGUUCGGAAAAUCAAACGGAAAUCGCAAGUUAGAGUGAUGUCAACAAUCUCAGUUAAAUGAAUAUGCAGUGGCAGCCAACACAAACUUUAGUGUUAGAUAGGUUGUCGCCGUUAUCUCAAUCCUUGAACCAGUCACAGGAGUCACAGGAAACAAUGGCAAGUGGACAAGAUAAUCUCCUGAGCCCAUCGCAGCAUCGAUUCCAGGCUUCUGCAGCGAGGGAGAGAGAUCGCUCGAUCAUGAAAACAAGGUCCGCUCACAAAGUGUUAGGUGAAUUGAGGAUCCGAAUAUUCAGUAGAGCGCAUCCCGAAUAGAACAGAACCAUGGUAUCACAUUCAUUAUCCAAUGAAUUUAAAUGUGACGAUGUACUUCAUGGUUAAAAGUACAUCCGAGCGUGAAAAAUAUAAGAGUUUUAAACAUUCCAAGUUUUUCGUGUACGGAAGAUUUGAUGGCUGCGGCACUUUGUUUUUCUUUCCUCUACACAAUCGGCAGCUUUCUAGUAUUUUUAAAAUCAAAGAAUUCAUUCGAAGUUUUCGGAGAUGGACGCAAUGCAAAAAAAAACCAUCACAUUGCGAGUAAAUGGAUGCCGGGAGCGGCUACGGAAUCCCGAGUAGUGAGCCUCAGACCGGUCCAGCGAACAAUAAAUAAAUGUAUGUAGCGU